rnacentral:rRNA from 1 species
AACUUAAAUGAAUUGACGGGACCCGCACAAGCGGUGGAUGAUGUGGUUUAAUUCGAUGCAACGCGAAAACCUUACCCACCUUUGACAUGUACGGAACCCUUUAGAGAUGGAGGGUGCUCGAAAGAGAGCCGUAACACAGGUGCUGCAUGGCUGUCGUCAGCUCGUGUCGUGAGAUGUUGGGUUAAGUCCCGCAACGAGCGCAACCCUUGUCAUUAGUUGCUACAUUCCGUUGGGCACUCUAAUGAGACUGCCGGUGACAAACCGGAGGAAGGUGGGGAUGACGUCAAGUCCUCAUGGCCCUUAUGGGUGGGGCUACACACGUCAUACAAUGGAUGGUACAAAGGGUCGCCAACCCGCGAGGGGGAGCCAAUCCCAUAAAGCCAUUCGUAGUCCGGAUCGCAGUCUGCAACUCGACUGCGUGAAGUCGGAAUCGCUAGUAAUCGUGGAUCAGAAUGUCACGGUGAAUACGUUCCCGGGUCUU